rnacentral:rRNA from 1 species
GACGAACGCUGGCGGCGUGCUUAACACAUGCAAGUCGAACGGAAAGGCCCUGCUUUUGUGGGUUGCUCGAGUGGCGAACGGGUGAGUAACACGUGAGUAACCUGCCCUUGACUUUGGGAUAACUUCAGGAAACUGGGGCUAAUACCGGAUAGGAGCUCCUGCUGCAUGGUGGGGGUUGGAAAGUUUCGGCGGUUGGGGAUGGACUCGCGGCUUAUCAGCUUGUUGGUGGGGUAGUGGCUUACCAAGGCUUUGACGGGUAGCCGGCCUGAGAGGGUGACCGGCCACAUUGGGACUGGGAUACGGCCCAGACUCCUACGGGAGGCAGCAGUGGGGAAUAUUGCACACUGGGCGGAAGCCUGAUGCAGCAACGCCGCGUGCGGGAUGUCGGCCUUCGGGUUGUAAACCGCUUUCGCCUGUGACGAAGCGUGAGUGACGGUAAUGGGUAAAGAAGCACCGGCUAACUACGUG